GGCGGGCCGCGGCGCCGGGUCUUCGGAGCACCUGGAGCGGCUGCAUGAGAUCUUCCGGGGCCUGCACGGAGAGCUGCGGGGCGUGCCCGAGCGGCUGCGGGGCAGCGUGGCCGGUGAGGCGGCGGCGGCCGGCCCGCCCUCGUGGCUUGGCGGGAGGGCGCGGAGCGGCCGGGGCUUGCUGUGGGGCCGUUGCAGGGGCGCCUGGGCGCUUUCGCCGUAAAGAAACCCGUUUCUACAGCAGCCGGCGGGCAGAGUUCUUUUAGGAAAGCCGGGGGGGCGGGGGGGGAAGGGGAAGGAGUCCGCCAAGGCAGUUGUAGAGGUUUAGUGCACCGCUUUGGGUAGGCGCCUCCUUGGAGGGGGCAGGUGGUUUUGCUUAGGCCUGGCUUCGCUGUGUGUUAUUUUUCAGUUGCCGCUAUGUUUUGGUAACUUUGCUCCUGAGCGUUAGCUGCGGUUGGUGCUUUACUCCUGUGGAGCAGCUCCUCUUGUCUGGCAAAUUUCAAGUCCACGGUCAAGUGCUGCAGUGCUGGCCUUUCAGUUUCAGUCUUAUCUCUGAGGAGGAGUUGUGAUUUAGAUGUUACUUCGUUAUGUUUCUAGUAUUCUUCAAGAGUCCACUGGUGGUUGUCUUCAGGGCUUUUGCAAAAGCUUAAAACCCAUACAUUUUAGCUCCAUUGAGAUAAGGGGAGUUUCAGAAUUAUGCUUUCAUAGAUCGUGGAUAUUAGAGAGUGGAAAUUGGAGGAUAAUAGAGGAGAAGAAAAAAUUAGUUCGAGAAUUUGAUGAGAAACAGCGUGAAGCAAAUGAAACGCUGCGGGAAAUGGAGGAAGAACUGAAGUAUGCUCCUCUGCCUUUCCGCAACCAAAUGAUGAGCAAAAUCCGGGCGUACAGAAGAGACCUCUCCAUGUUCCAGAGAGAGAUGAGAAGCACAGAUUUGGGAUUGGGCCCUGGAAAUCAAGGCGAUAUAAAAUACGGAAUCUUCUCCACAGAAAAUGAACAGAGUACUCAUCUGCAGUCACAGAGGGUGCUGCUUCUCCAGGGAACAGACAGCCUGAACCGAGCCACGCAGAGCAUCGAGCGCUCGCACCGCAUUGCUGCCGAAACAGAUCAGAUCGGCACCGAUAUCAUUGAGGAACUUGGGGAGCAGCGGGAGCAGCUGGAACGCACCAAGAGCAGAUUGGUGAAUACAAGUGAGAACUUGAGCAAGAGUCGCAAGAUUCUACGUUCUAUGUCCCGGAGAGUUACCACCAACAAGUUGUUACUGUCAAUUAUCAUCAUCCUGGAACUAGCCAUCCUGGGAGGUGUGGUCUACUACAAGUUCUUUCGCAGCAGAUGAAUCUUCAUGACCAAGAUGAGCUUUUCUACUGUUGAGGAACGGGAUGGGCUGGCUGUUCCCUGUGACUGUCUGAGGAUUGAACUGUCCCAUGAGACAGCACAGUCAGCUGAAACUGUACUGACACUAGAGAGACAGAGACUGGGAAUAAAAGGAAAAGGCAGAGACAGACUUGAACUACUGAAAGUCACGGUGAAAGGCUGAACAUUGAUUUGCAUGGCAUCUAGGAUGGAGCAAGCCCCAAGCUUGCGGAUUUCAUAGACAGCUCAUCGAGCUCUGAAAAUGGCUACAGCCAACACAGCUGUCAAGCAGCAAGAAGGCUUUGUUUCCCUCUACACUUCUCAAUUACUAAUUAUAUUCUAGUUACAACAUUGGGACUUGUUUUUAAAAGUCUAACACACCCAUAGCUAGGAAGCCCUUAGGAUUAAAUAAGCGCAUACAAUAAAAGUAUUCAUUACUCUGGGGCAGUGAAACUUUUCUGCAGUCAUAAAUUCAGUAGAGGGAUAAAUGAAUUGGAGACCACUAAGAAAAAACAAUUCAGGUCUCAGAAAUGAAGCUGUAUCUGCAAAACCCAUCACCAUACCCUCAGCUGAGCACAGUAUCGAUAAUGUCGUCAGAUACUCUUCAGUAUCAAUGAUUUAGUACAUUUAAUACUGCCAUUUUUAAUUACACCUCUUCAAAUAAAGAAAAUGGAAUGCCUUAA